CAGCCGCCGCGGUAAUACGUAGGGUGCGAGCGUUAAUCGGAUUUACUGGGCGUAAAGCGUGCGCAGGCGGCCCGUUAAGACAGGUGUGAAAUCCCUGGGCUCAACCUAGGAAUUGCGCUUGUGACUGGCGGGCUCGAGUACGGUAGAGGGGGUGGAAUUCCUGGUGUAGCAGUGAAAUGCGUAGAGAUCAGGAGGAACACCGAUGGCGAAGGCAGCCCCCUGGGCCUGUACUGACGCUCAUGCACGAAAGCGUGGGGAGCAAACAGGAUUAGAUACCCUGGUAGUCCACGCCCUAAACGAUGGGUACUAGCCGUUUGGUGCGCGAUAGCGCUGAGUGGCGAAGCUAACGCGUGAAGUACCCCGCCUGGGGAGUACGGCCGCAAGGUUGAAACUUAAAGGAAUUGCGGG
rnacentral:rRNA from 1 species